rnacentral:rRNA from 1 species
UGGCGGACGGGUGAGUAAUGCUUGGGAAUCUGGCUUAUGGAGGGGGAUAACUACGGGAAACUGUAGCUAAUACCGCGUAAUAUCUUCGGAUUAAAGGGUGGGACUUUCGGGCCACCUGCCAUAAGAUGAGCCCAAGUGGGAUUAGGUAGUUGGUUAGGUAAAGGCUGACCAAGCCGACGAUCUCUAGCUGGUCUGAGAGGAUGACCAGCCACACUGGAACUGAGACACGGUCCAG